rnacentral:rRNA from 1 species
GACAGAGGGUGCAAACGUUGUUCGGAAUUACUGGGCGUAAAGGGCGCGUAGGCGGCCUUCUAAGUCGAACGUGAAAUCCCCGGGCUCAACCCGGGAACUGCGUCCGAUACUGGAAGGCUUGAAUCCGGGAGAGGGAUGUGGAAUUCCAGGUGUAGCGGUGAAAUGCGUAGAUAUCUGGAGGAACACCGGUGGCGAAGGCAGAUCUCUGGGCCGUAACUGACGCUGAGGAGCGAAAGCAUGGGGAGCGAACAGGA